rnacentral:rRNA from 1 species
AAGUACGUAGCUUAACCUUCGGGAGGGCGCUUACCACUUUGUGAUUCAUGACUGGGGUGAAGUCGUAACAAGGUAACCGUAGGGGAACCUGCGGUUGGAUCACCUCCUUACCUUAAAGAA